rnacentral:rRNA from 1 species
UACGGAGGAUGCAAGCGUUAUCCGGAAUGAUUGGGCGUAAAGGGUCCGCAGGUGGCAGUGUAAGUCUGCUGUCAAAGAAUGAGGCUUAACCUUAUCAAGGCAGUGGAAACUACACAGCUAGAGUACGGUCGGGGUAGAAGGAAUUCCUGGUGUAGCGGUGAAAUGCGCAGAUAUCAGGAGGAACACCAAUGGCGAAGGCAGCUCGCUGGGACGGUACUGACGCUGAGGCGCGAAAGCGUGGGGAGCAAACAGG